GACGUGCUAAUCUGCGAUAAGCGUCGGUAAGGUGAUAUGAACCGUUAUAACCGGCGAUUUCCGAAUGGGGAAACCCAGUGUGAUUCGUCACACUAUCAUUAACUGAAUCCAUAGGUUAAUGAGGCGAACCGGGGGAACUGAAACAUCUAAGUACCCCGAGGAAAAGAAAUCAACCGAGAUUCCCCCAGUAGCGGCGAGCGAACGGGGAGCAGCCCAGAGCCUGAAUCAGUGUGUGUGUUAGUGGAAGCGUCUGGAAAGGCGUGCGAUACAGGGUGACAGCCCCGUACACAAAAAUGCACAUACUGUGAGCUCGAUGAGUAGGGCGGGACACGUGGUAUCCUGUCUGAAUAUGGGGGGACCAUCCUCCAAGGCUAAAUACUCCUGACUGACCGAUAGUGAACCAGUACCGUGA
rnacentral:rRNA from 1 species